UCAUUACUCUAAAGAAAUUUUUAUACUUGAUGUAACACAAAACAAUUAAUUUUCUAUCUAGCCAUCAGUUUAAUGUAAAAUUUUUCGUUGAUUUAAAUUAAAAGUAAGUAUUGUUAGUGUAAAGUAAAUGGAUUUCUUUAAAUUAAAGUAAAAAUAUUGGUUUCCGUUGUCACGUGACUUCUGACGUCAUCCGUGCCGUGGUCGUGCGUGAGACGUUCAGCUUUCCGCCAUCUUGUUAAACCGCAUGGAAGAACUCAGCGUGGGAAAACGGGAAGCAAGAAAAUUGCAGCGAAUAGUUUCACAGAAAUAUCACAUCAGAACCAUUAGUGCAUUGGAUGGCCAGCUCUGUUUCAACAAGAGGAGAUUAAUGCCGAAUUUUUUCUUAUCACGACCUUACCUUUGCAAUCAAGAUUUAUGGCCUCUUUGGACAGACAGAGCUCUCAGCUUCUCCAGGUGAUCAGGAGCGAAGGUGGACUCCUUCGUGAAAAAACUAAGGAUACUAUAAAAAGUCCGGACAUAGACGUCAGAAGAGAGUGCCUGCUGAAGUGCCUGAUCAUGUACCUUGGUGAAGAUGCAAGCUGUCUGAUCAAAGAAUACCAGGAUGACCAGAGGGAGGAAGCGGAGA